UACCUACUAUCGACUACUAGUGGUUCCGGUAAUAACUAAUAUGAAGCUAGGUAGAUAAAAAAGGGGACUUGUGAGUUUCUAGGCACUUCUGUAUUCUUUGACGUUACAUUCUAUACGCUUUUUAAAGAUAAUUAUUGUUUAUAAAAAUGGGUAAUGCUCUAAUGAAAGCAGAAACAAAACAAGAAGGAGAGAAAAAAUUGAAGCCUUGCUGUGCUUGUCCAGAAACAAAAAAGGCGAGAGAUGCAUGUAUUAUAGAAAGAGGAGAAGAAAGUUGCACAGAUCUUAUAGAGGCUCAUAAAAGUUGUAUGCGUUCAAUGGGAUUUAAUAUAUAAUACGUCAAAUAGUUAAUAACAUCUUGUAAUUACCAUCGUUAUAAUUAGAUUCCAUAAAAUAUUACAAAAAUGCUGUGAUUACAGAAUUUUCUCUCCGUAUUUUUAUUGGUAAAUAAGUUAGUAUUAUGUAGAAUUAUUGUCAAAUAAAAUCUAAUUGUAAACUUAUAAAAAA